UUAUUAAAAACAUGGCCUUUUGAUUAUAAUUUAAGGUCAGGCCUGCCCAAUGAGUAUUUAAAUGGCCGCGGUAAUUUGACCGUGCAAAGGUAGCAUAAUCACUAGUUUUUUAAUUGAAAGCUUGUAUGAAAGGUUCGAUGAGAAAAUAACUGUCUCUAUUUAAAUUUAUUAGAAUUUUAUUUUUAAGUUAAAAAGCUUAAAUACAUAUAAAAGACGAGAAGACCCUGUAGAGUUUUAUAUAAAUAAGUAUAUUUAUAUAAUUUUUAGAAUUUAUUUGUAGGAUAUAUUUUUAUAUUUGGUUGGGGAAACAAAAAAAUUAAAAAAACUUUUUUUUAAUUAAAACAAUAAUAUUUGAAUAUGUGAUCCUUAUAUUAAGAUUAAAAGAUUAAAUUACCUCAGGGAUAACAGCGUAAUUUUUUUCAAGAGUUCAAAUCAAAAAAAAAGAUUGCGACCUCGAUGUUGGAUUAAAAUAAAAUAUUGGUGUAGAAGCUAAUAUAUUAGGUCUGUUCGACCUUUUAAAUUUUACAUGAUCUGAGUUUAAACCGGUG
rnacentral:rRNA from 1 species